rnacentral:misc_RNA from 1 species
AACCCUAUUCGUGUAUGUAUAAGUUCGUCUGGCUAUUUGACAAGCGAUUUUUCACACGUUGCCCGACGAGCUGAGAAAAUUUUAUUCAAGACAAAUUUCCCCGGUUUUCGAGGCGUGCAAGUGGUUUUUAAACAUCUAAAUACUGACCCAGUGAUCUAAAGCAAUUGAGAAUGCCGGAAACAGGCAAGAAAAUAAGCGAGUUGCGCGUGUGCGACUUGAAGGCAGAGUUGGAAAAGCGCAAGCUGGAGACGGUGGGCCCGAAGGCGGCGCUCAUCGACCGCCUGGAAAAGGCAUUAAAAGAGGAGGGCCAUGACCCGGCUACUCACCAGAUUACUGUUGGGGUUAGAGGCAAGAAGCCCCUCCCAAUGCCCAUGAAGGAGCCUCUGGCCGACAUUAAGAUCAAGGAGGAGCCCCUCGACGUCGAGGAGGAGGAGCACACUCAGCAGGGGGAUGACUACGAGAACGGCAGCGACUUUGCCCAUCACGCCGAUGAAGAUGGGCACGAGAUCGACCAGGUGGGCGAUGUUGACGAUGUGUGUGUGAUUCUCGAUGACGAUGAUGAGGAGGACGAAGAGGAAUACGACGAAGAGAAUCAGAAUGGUGAUGGCGAGGGAGAGGCCGAGGCCGAGGGGGAGGCUCAGGAGGAGGCCGAGAACAAUGGCACCGCUGGCAUUCAGGGAGAGGAGGAGAAUACCGGCGAUACCGUCAACAUGGACAACGACGAGUCCAUCAACCUAACAAUUGGUGAGGACGAACAGAAGCUGCUCCACGACGAGGCUCCCGACGACAAGUCUAUUAAAUCGGUUAAACCGGCUGCCAAGUCCAGCUCCAAAGACGCCGAUAAGAAGAGUGACGAGAGCGCGCGCUCCAAGAAAAAGGAUGAGAAAACUUCUGACAAACGAGAUGCCAGCGAUUCAAAAUCUGGAAAAUCUUCGAACCAAAAGGACGACAAAGGAUUAUGGAGUCCCGUGACGAUACUGGCAAGCGCGGCGUAGCCAAGCGCUCCGACGACCGCUACGGAGACGUAUCUGACCGCAAGCGUACGGCUAUUUUUGAGGCCCCACCGCCACCCAGAUUCGAUGCCAAUCUAGUCAGCUCUCGCAGCACUUACGAUAAGAAGCACGAUGACUACGGUUCGUCGUCGUCUUCGAAGCGCGGCCUGGAUGACUAUUCCAGCUCCAACAAGCGCCUGGACUACGGCAACAAGCGCAACGACUACGGAAGCUCCUCCGGCUCCAAGCGCGGAGCAGUGGACGACUAUUCCAACGUGCCCAAUAAGCGUUCGAGUGGCAACGACUACAGCGGAUCCAGUUCUAAGCACGACUACUCGUCGUCCAGCAAGCGCGAUGACUAUAAGCGGGAGGUGGAGGUUCGUCACCUUCCACUCGCCGGCACCGCCGGUGGCUCCAGCAGCUCCUACCUACACAAGAACAACUCCGGAGGCGGGGCCGGAUCCUACGUCCACAA